UACGAGGGGUGCAAGCGUUGCUCGGAAUUAUUGGGCGUAAAGGGUAGGUAGGUGGUCUCAUUUGUCUGGGGUGAAAGCCUUGAGCUUAACUCAAGAAGUGCCCCGGAAACGGUGAGACUGGAGUCUUGGAGAGGGUCGUGGAAUUCCCGGUGUAGCGGUGAAAUGCGUAGAGAUCGGGAGGAACACCAGAGGCGAAAGCGGCGACCUGGACAAGUACUGACACUCAACUACGAAAGCGUGGGGAGCAAACAGG
rnacentral:rRNA from 1 species